AUUGAACGCUGGCGGCAGGCCUAACACAUGCAAGUCGAACGGUAACAGGAAGAAGCUUGCUUCUUUGCUGACGAGUGGCGGACGUGUGAGUAAUGUCUGGGAAACUGCCUGAUGGAGGGGGUUAACUACUGGAAACGGUAGCUAAUACCGCAUAACGUCGCAAGACCAAAGAGGGGGACCUUCGGGCCUCUUGCCAUCGGAUGUGCCCAGAUGGGAUUAGCUAGUAGGUGGGGUAACGGCUCACCUAGGCGACGAUCCCUAGCUGGUCUGAGAGGAUGACCGGCCACACUGGAACUGAGACACGGUCCAGACUCCUACGGGAGGCAGCAGUGGGGAAUAUUGCACAAUGGGCGCAAGCCUGAUGCAGCCAUGCCGCGUGUAUGAAGAAGGCCUUCGGGUUGUAAAGUUCUUUCAGCGGGGAGGAAGGGAGUAAAGUUAAUACCUUUGCUCAUUGACGUUACCCGCAGAAGAAGCACCGGCUAACUCCGUG
rnacentral:rRNA from 1 species